rnacentral:rRNA from 1 species
GGCCUCAAGUGAUGUGUAAA